rnacentral:rRNA from 1 species
CAGGGAUUGCCCUAGUAACGGCGAGUGAAGCGGCAACAGCUCAAAUUUGAAAUCUGGCGCCAGCCCGAGUUGUAAUUUGGAGAGGAUGCUUCUGGGCAGCGGCCGGUCUAAGUUCCUUGGAACAGGACGUCACAGAGGGUGAGAAUCCCGUAUGUGACCGGCGCGCACCCUCCACGUAGCUCCUUCGACGAGUCGAGUUGUUUGGGAAUGCAGCUCUAAAUGGGAGGUAAAUUUCUUCUAAAGCUAAAUACCGGCCAGAGACCGAUAGCGCACAAGUAGAGUGAUCGAAAGAUGAAAAGCACUUUGGAAAGAGAGUUAAACAGCACGUGAAAUUGUUGAAAGGGAAGCGCCUGCAACCAGACUUCGCGGCAGUGUUCCGCCGGCCUUCUGGCCGGCCCACUCGCUGCCGCGAGGCCAUCAUCGUCUCGGGUCGCGGGAUAAGACCGGGGGAAUGUAGCUCGCCCUCGGGCGAGUGUUAUAGCCCCCAGUGAUGCCGCGUACCCGGGGCGAGGUCCGCGCUCCGGCAAGGAUGAUGGCGUAAUGGUCGUCGGCGGCCCGUCUUGAAACACGGACCAAGGAGUCUAACAUCUAUGCGAGUGUUCGGGUGUCAAACCCCUACGCGUAAUGAAAGUGAACGGAGGUGGGAACCCUCGCGGGUGCACCAUCGACCGAUCCUGAUGUCCUCGGAUGGAUUUGAGUAAGAGCAUAGCUGUUGGGACCCGAAAGAUGGUGAACUAUGCCUGAAUAGGGUGAAGCCAGAGGAAACUCUGGUGGAGGCUCGCAGCGGUUCUGACGUGCAAAUCGAUCGUCAAAUUUGGGUAUAGGGGCGAAAGACUAAUCGAACCAUCUAGUAG